CAGCAGCCGCGGUAAUACGUAGGGUGCAAGCGUUAAUCGGAAUUACUGGGCGUAAAGCGUGCGCAGGCGGUUGUGUAAGACAGGUGUGAAAUCCCCGGGCUUAACCUGGGAAUUGCAUUUGUGACUGCACGACUAGAGUGUGUCAGAGGGGGGUGGAAUUCCACGUGUAGCAGUGAAAUGCGUAGAUAUGUGGAGGAACACCAAUGGCGAAGGCAGCCCCCUGGGAUAACACUGACGCUCAUGCACGAAAGCGUGGGGAGCAAACAGGAUUAGAUACCCCUGUAGUCCCUGUCUCUUAUAC
rnacentral:rRNA from 1 species